CGGCUUUGUUCAUCUGAAAGUAGUGAGUCAUUGUUAAUCAUCAGCAAAGGGGCUUUGGAAGCUUUUAAAAGUUGCGGGUGUUUCGUCCUCACGUAAAGAUAAGUCACGAAAGUCGAACAGGUAAUUAAACUGCUUGCUUUUUGGUUAUUUUCAGUUGGCUUUUCUUUGACUUCAUCAUGUAGAAGUCAAAAUCGCGUACCUUAAUUUAAAAGCAUAUCACACCAGAAGCGGGCAUUCAACGUAUCGUAGAAGGUAAAGCAAGAAGCGAAAUUUGCAGAUAUCAUUCAAAAAUAAGGGAAGCUCGCUUACUUAGUCGUGCUGUGGUCAUGCUUUGCAAAUAUUUCUUUGUUCAACCAAUGUAAUAGCAAAGCAAAGCAUUUCAAAAGAAACGAAUGAUGAAAAUGUUUCAAAAUUUA